AGUGAACGCUGGCGGUAGGCCUAACACAUGCAAGUCGAACGGCAGCACAGUAAGAGCUUGCUCUUACGGGUGGCGAGUGGCGGACGGGUGAGGAAUACAUUGGAAUCUACUUUUUCGUGGGGGAUAACGUAGGGAAACUUACGCUAAUACCGCAUACGACCUACGGGUGAAAGCAGGGGAUCUUCGGACCUUGCGCGAUUGAAUGAGCCGAUGUCGGAUUAGCUAGUUGGCGGGGUAAAGGCCCACCAAGGCGACGAUCCGUAGCUGGUCUGAGAGGAUGAUCAGCCACACUGGAACUGAGACACGGUCCAGACUCCUACGGGAGGCAGCAGUGGGGAAUAUUGGACAAUGGGCGCAAGCCUGAUCCAGCCAUACCGCGUGGGUGAAGAAGGCCCUCGGGUUGUAAAGCCCUUUUGUUGGGAAAGAAAAGCAGCAGGUUAAUACCCCGCUGUUCUGACGGUACCCAAAGAAUAAGCACCGGCUAACUUCGUG
rnacentral:rRNA from 1 species